rnacentral:rRNA from 1 species
UACGGGGGGAGCAAGCGUUGUUCGGAUUUACUGGGCGUAAAGGGCGCGUAGGCGGUCGUGACAAGUCACUUGUGAAAUCUCCGGGCUUAACUCGGAACGGUCAAGUGAUACUGUCGGACUAGAGUACAGAAGGGGCAACUGGAAUUCUCGGUGUAGCGGUGAAAUGCGUAGAUAUCGAGAGGAACACCUGCGGCGAAGGCGGGUUGCUGGGCUGACACUGACGCUGAUGCGCGAAAGCUAGGGAGCGAACGGG